UUUCCGUAGGUUAACCUGCGGAAGGAUCAUUAUUGUAUAACCGAGGUGCGAGGGCUGUCGCUGACCCGAAAGGUCGUGCACGCCCGAGUGCCCUCACACACAUCCAUCUCACCCCUAUGUGCACCACCGCGCGGGUCCCCCUUUGGCUUGUUCGGAGGGGGGCUUACGUUUUCACACAAACUUUGUAUGCAGUGUAGAAUGUAUUUUUUGUUUUUGCGAUCACGCAAUCAAUACAACUUUCAACAACGGAUCUCUUGGCUCUC
rnacentral:misc_RNA from 1 species